rnacentral:rRNA from 1 species
CCUACGGGGGGCAGCAGUGGGGAAUUUUGGACAAUGGGCGCAAGCCUGAUCCAGCUAUUCCGCGUGUGGGAAGACGGCCUUCGGGUUGUAAACCACUUUUGUAGAGAACGAAAAGUCUAUUGAUAAUACCAAUAGAUGAUGACGGUACUCUAAGAAUAAGCACCGGCUAACUACGUGCCAGCAGCCGCGGUAAUACGUAGGGUGCGAGCGUUAAUCGGAAUUACUGGGCGUAAAGGGUGUGCAGGCGGUUUUGCAAGAUGGAUGUGAAAGCCCCGGGCGUAACCUGGGAAAGCCAUACAUGACUGCAAGACUAGAGUGCGUCAGAGGGGGGUGGAAUUCCAAGUGUAGCAGUGAAAUGCGUAGAUAUUUGGAAGAACACCGAUGGCGAAGGCAGCCCCCUGGGACGCAACUGACGCUCAUACACGAAAGCGUGGGGAGCAAACAGGAUUAGAUACCCUUGUAGUC